rnacentral:rRNA from 1 species
GAUGAACGCUAGCUACAGGCUUAACACAUGCAAGUCGAGGGGUAACGAGAGGAAAGCUUGCUUUCCUUGUCGACGACCGGCGCACGGGUGAGUAACGCGUAUCCAACCUGCCCCCAACUAAGGAAUAACCUUGCGAAAGUAAGACUAAUACCUUAUAAUUUCCUCAGAUGUCAUCUGACGAGGAAUAAAGAUUUAUCGGUUGUGGAUGGGGAUGCGUCUGAUUAGCUUGUUGGCGGGGUAACGGCCCACCAAGGCAACGAUCAGUAGGGGUUCUGAGAGGAAGGUCCCCCACAUUGGAACUGAGACACGAUCCAAACUCCUACGGGAGGCAGCAGUGAGGAAUAUUGGUCAAUGGGCGGAAGCCUGAACCAGCCAAGUAUCGUGCAGGAUGACGGCCCUAUGGGUUGUAAACUGCUUUUACACAGGAAUAAAGUUAGCCACGUGUGGUUAUUUGUAGGUACUGUAUGAAUAAGGACCGGCUAAUUCCGUGCCAGCCGCCGCCGUAA